rnacentral:rRNA from 1 species
CCUAGGGUGGGCAGCAGUGAGGAAUAUUGGUCAAUGGGCGCGAGCCUGAACCAGCCAAGCAGCGUGAAGGAUGACUGCCCAACGGGUCGCAAACCUCUUUUAUCAGGGAAUAAAGUGAGGCACUCGUCCGUUCCUGUAUGUACCUUAUGAAAAAGCAUCGGCUAACUCCGUGCCAGCAGCCGCGGUAAUACGGAGGAUGCGAGCGUUUUCCGGAUUUAUUGGGUUUAAAGGGUGCGCAGAUGGGCUCUUAAGUCAGGUGUGAAAAUUUGCGGCUCAACCGCACACGUGCAGUUGAUACUGGGAGUCUUGAGUGCAGUUGAGGUAGGCGGAAUUCGUGGUGUAGCGGUGAAAUGCUUAGAUAUCGCGCAGAACUCCGAUUGCGAAGGCAGCGUGCUGAGCUGCCACUGACGUUGAGGCACGAAAGUGUGGGUAUCGAACAGGAUUAGAUACCCCAGUAGUC